AUUGAACGCUGGCGGCAUGCUUUACACAUGCAAGUCGAACGGUAACAGGGAGCUUGCUCCGCUGACGAGUGGCGAACGGGUGAGUAAUGCGUCGGAACGUGCCGAGUAGUGGGGGAUAACGCAUCGAAAGGUGUGCUAAUACCGCAUACGAACUGAGGUUGAAAGUGGGGGACCUUCGGGCCUCACGCUAUUCGAGCGGCCGACGUCUGAUUAGCUAGUUGGUGAGGUAAAGGCUCACCAAGGCGACGAUCAGUAGCGGGUCUGAGAGGAUGAUCCGACACACUGGGACUGGGACACGGCCCAGACUCCUACGGGAGGCAGAAGUGGGGAAUUUUGGACAAUGGGCGCAAGCCUGAUCCAGCCAUGCCGCGUGUCUGAAGAAGGCCUUCGGGUUGUAAAGGACUUUUGUCCGGGAGCAAAUGCUGGUGGCUAACAUCCACCGGAGCUGAGAGUACCGGAAGAAUAAGCACCGGCUAACUACGUGCCAGCCGCCGCCGUAAUAC
rnacentral:rRNA from 1 species